GCUGGGUGCGGUGGCGCAUGCCUGUAAUCCCAGCAGCUCGAGAGGCUGAGGCAGGAGGAUUGUGAGUUCAAAUCCAGCCUCAG
rnacentral:sRNA from 1 species